rnacentral:rRNA from 1 species
AUUGAACGCUGGCGGCAGGCUUAACACAUGCAAGUCGAACGAGUGGCGGACGGGUGAGUAAUGCUUGGGAAUCUACCUUAUGGAGGGGGAUAACUACGGGAAACUGUAGCUAAUACCGCGUACCAUAGGAUGAGCCCAAGUGGGAUUAGGUAGUUGGUGGGGUAAAGGCUCACCAAGCCGACGAUCCCUAGCUGGUCUGAGAGGAUGACCAGCCACACUGGGACUGAGAAACGGCCCAGACUCCUACGGGAGGCAGCAGGGGGGAAUAUUGCGCCAUGGGGGCAACCCUGACGCAGCCAGGCCGCGUGAAGGAAGAAGGCCUUCGGGUUGUAAAGUACUUUCCGCGGGGAGGCGGUAACCGCAGAAGAAGCACCGGCUAACUCCGUGCCAGCAGCCGCGGUAAUAC